CUGUUACUGAGCAUGCGCGGUACCAUCUGCGGGAGCCGGGACUCAGCCCUCAUGACAGCGUCUUCGCUGCUGCUCUGGGCCGGGGGCUAAACGGAGGGGCGCGAUGCGCAGAAUCUGUCGAGGGGGAAAGUGAUCGCGCACUGGGAGUUAAACAGCUGGAGGCAGGGGAAGGCGAGGGGCCCACGGGCAGGAGGAAAUACCAGAAAAGUCAAGUCUCAACUUCCCUCGUUUUGCCAGAGGACCUGCUGGAAUAGACCAGUACAGGUUCAGUUUUACACCUUAACUGAAUGAGAAGUGGUGUUGAAUCUUCAAAUGGCAGAAAGAAGGCAUUUCAAUGAAGAUAGCUAUAUGAUCCACAACAUCUAAGGAAGACGACAACGGUUGCUCAGUGACAGGACAAGUGGCCAAUUUAUACAGAAAGCUGCAGAACAAGUAUACACAAGAUGUUCCUUAUGCAUCUACCCCCGCAAUCAAAAGCUGCCACCCACUGGCCAGACACCAUCAGUAACAUCCACC